UGUUGAUCUCUCAAAAGACUCUUCAAGUCAAAUCAUUUUUCACAUAUGCAUCUUUUUAUAGCUCCUAGAAUGAGCAAAUCAGCUGUGCAUCAUCUCUGGGAUUUGGGCAGAAAAUGACUGAAUAUGGAAGAUGAAGCCAGUUGAUGAAGAUAUCAAUUCAAUGGCCACCAAGUACUGCACUGCUGCCUGAACCCAUCAGUUAUCUGCUGUGAAGACUGCAUUCACAAACAGCUCUACUGUGACAGCGCAGAUGUUAAGUAAAUUUCACAACUGAACAACUGCAAGAUAGUUGUGGAGGGAUUCUUUUGGCCCAUACCUCCAACAAGAAUCAAUGGACAUCUACACCAGGUGGUGUGUGAGGAGGACCGUCAGAGACUCCAGCCACCCGAGCCAUGGACUGCUCUCACCGUUACCAUCAGGCAGAUGUUAUCGCAGAACCUGCACCAGCAGACAGCGAGACGAGUUAUUUCCAUCAGAUUGAACUGAACUCGUACCAGUAACACCACACAGCACACCCCACCAACCUCAUAUACACUGCACUCUAUCAGUUACGCUGACUGGACUCCCUAUUAUUCUGCACCCUGACAUUCUGUUUGCACUAAUUCAUACCGUGCUGCACUGCAAAGGUAUAUGUGUACUGUGAUUAUUAUUGUUUUCAUUUCAUGAGCUGUAUAGCAUAAUAUUUACCAUAUAUUGUUCUCUACCUGUAUUGAGUCCCUUAUAUAUGUGUUGCAUAUAUAUUCAGUAUUUGUAUUUCAUAUUUAUUCAUUCAUUUGUCAUCCAUACUGUCAUGCUGCAGUUUGCACCCAAGACUUUCACCACCUGUACACUUGCGUUCAUGGUAUUGUGACAAUAAAGUGAUUUGAUU
rnacentral:lncRNA from 1 species